rnacentral:rRNA from 1 species
GGGUUGUGAGGUUAAGCGACUAAGCGUACACGGUGGAUGCCCUGGCAGUCAGAGGCGAUGAAGGACGUGCUAAUCUGCGAUAAGCGUCGGUGAGGUGAUAUGAACCGUUAUAACCGGCGAUUUCCGAAUGGGGAAACCCAGUGUGUUUCGACACACUAUCAUUAACUGAAUCCAUAGGUUAAUGAGGCGAACCGGGGGAACUGAAACAUCUAAGUACCCCGAGGAAAAGAAAUCAACCGAGAUUCCCCCAGUAGCGGCGAGCGNCCCUGGCAGUCAGAGGCGAUGAAGGACGUGCUAAUCUGCGAUAAGCGUCGGUGAGGUGAUAUGAACCGUUAUAACCGGCGAUUUCCGAAUGGGGAAACCCAGUGUGWUUCGWCACACUAUCAUUAACUGAAUCCAUAGGUUAAUGAGGCGAACCGGGGGAACUGAAACAUCUAAGUACCCCGAGGAAAAGAAAUCAACCGAGAUUCCCCCAGUAGCGGCGAGCGAACGGGGAGGAGCCCAGAGCCUGAAUCAGUGUGUGUGUUAGUGGAAGCGUCUGGAAAGGCGCGCGAUACAGGGUGACAGCCCCGUACACAAAAAUGCACAYAUUGUGAGCUCGAUGAGUAGGGCGGGACACGUGGUAUCCUGUCUGAAUAUGGGGGGACCAUCCUCCAAGGCUAAAUACUCCUGACUGACCGAUAGUGAACCAGUACCGUGAGGGAAAGGCGAAAAGAACCCCGGCGAGGGGAGUGAAAAAGAACCUGAAACCGUGUACGUACAAGCAGUGGGAGCCUCUUAAUGGGGUGACUGCGUACCUUUUGUAUAAUGGGUCAGCGACUUAUAUUCUGUAGCAAGGUUAACCGAAUAGGGGAGCCGAAGGGAAACCGAGUCUUAACUGGGC